rnacentral:rRNA from 1 species
UACGUAGGCAGCAAGCGUUAUUCGGAGUUACUGGGCGUAAAGGGUGCGUAGGCGGUCCUAUAAGUAUGGUGUGAAAUCUCCCGGCUUAACUGGGAGGGUGCGCUAUAGACUGUGGGACUAGAGUGUGGGAGAGGAAAGUGGAAUUCCUGGUGUAGCGGUGAAAUGCGUAGAUAUCAGGAGGAACACCGGUGGUGUAAACGGCUUUCUGGACCAUAACUGACGCUGAGGCACGAAAGCGUGGGUAGCAAACAGG